ensembl:lncRNA
AUUGUGAGGGACCGAGAAGCCAAGAACAAGGAACACAAGCGUUGCGCAAACAAAUGGAAACUCCCAGUGAAUGGUACGCCCAGACGGAACCAAUAAGCUUAAAUAUGGUGUUCCUGCCGGACUCUUGUUUUUCGUCACACCAGGAUGCGGCUGCAACGGACCAUGGCUGAAGUUGAUCACCGGUAAACUUAAACUCAAAAUAGAAACAAAUAUAAAUAACAGAUACAACAUAACUAAUUUGUGUGCACUUCAAAUCAGUCACAAUGCAUUGUGAAUGUAAAUGUAAACUUAUGCAAACCUAACAAUAAAUAGAGAAUGAAUGAAUGAAUUGUGUUUCCUGUGGUUACUUAUGCGAUCAUACUGAAACAAAUGAAAAUAAAUAAGAAGUUUAAAUAAGCUCAUUCUGAAAUGAAUGUCCUUCGUAUAACUAUAUGUAUGCAUG